GAGCACUGUUUCGGCAAGGGGGUCAUCCCGACUUACCAACCCGAUGCAAACUGCGAAUACCGGAGAAUGUUAUCACGGGAGACACACGGCGGGUGCUAACGUCCGUCGUGAAGAGGGAAACAACCCAGACCGCCAGCUAAGGUCCCAAAGUCAUGGUUAAGUGGGAAACGAUGUGGGAAGGCCCAGACAGCCAGGAUGUUGGCUUAGAAGCAGCCAUCAUUUAAAGAAAGCGUAAUAGCUCACUGGUCGAGUCGGCCUGCGCGGAAGAUGUAACGGGGCUAAACCAUG
rnacentral:rRNA from 1 species